GUGGGGAAUAUUGCACAAUGGGCGAAAGCCUGAUGCAGCAACGCCGCGUGAGCGAUGAAGGCCUUCGGGUCGUAAAGCUCUGUCCUCAAGGAAGAUAAUGACGGUACUUGAGGAGGAAGCCCCGGCUAACUACGUGCCAGCAGCCGCGGUAAUACGUAGGGGGCUAGCGUUAUCCGGAAUUACUGGGCGUAAAGGGUGCGUAGGCGGUCUUUCAAGCCAGAAGUGAAAGGCUACGGCUCAACCGUAGUAAGCUUUUGGAACUGUAGGACUUGAGUGCAGGAGAGGAGAGUGGAAUUCCUAGUGUAGCGGUGAAAUGCGUAGAUAUUAGGAGGAACACCAGUAGCGAAGGCGGCUCUCUGGACUGUAACUGACGCUGAGGCACGAAAGCGUGGGGAGCAAACAGGAUUAGAAACCCGGGUAGUCC
rnacentral:rRNA from 1 species